UACAGAGGGGGCGAGCGUUGUUCGGAAUUACUGGGCGUAAAGGGCGCGUAGGCGGCCAACUAAGUCAGACGUGAAAUCCCUCGGCUCAACCGGGGAGCUGCGUCUGAUACUGGAUGGCUUGAAUUCGGGAGAGGGAUGCGGAAUUCCAGGUGUAGCGGUGAAAUGCGUAGAUAUCUGGAGGAACACCGAUGGCGAAGGCAAUCCCCUGGGCCUGCACUGACGCUCAUGCACGAAAGCGUGGGGAGCAAACAGG
rnacentral:rRNA from 1 species